AUAGCAUCAGUGUUUGAUCGUGGUCCAGAAAUAGGCAGAGGGUAUCACUUGUAUAAAAAGGGACUGCGAUUCUGAGAAAACUUGGACGUGUUGCUGAAGAUAGAGAUGAAUCAAGGGCAGUAUUUGAUUGUCGUCUUGCUUGUUGUUUUUGGUCACAUAGGAUGGUUUUAUACUCAUGUCUGUGUUUUCCCUGCUUUCAGCCAGGGCUUCCUGCACUGGGCAGGACAAAACUUGAGGCAUCCAUCGUGUCAAGUACGGAGGGAGAAAUGAACGGCUCGAAAUCGAAUCACACAACGUUCCCAAAUGGGGUUGCUUGUGACGUCACUGUCUUCAAAAUCUGCUGAUGACUGGACAUCUAUGCAAAAGUGGGAUGUGAAGCCGAACUGACUGUGUUCCUCAUGGAAGGGGGGUAACGGCUGACAGGAAUGGAAGAUGUCGGAGGGAAAAGAAGGGGUUUACCAAUAAACAAGCGUGGCAAAGGCCUCAGCCGUGAGAAUACCGUGGUGAAGUCCUAGGGUUAAUCAUCUGAUCCACAACAUUCACAUGUCAGAGGGAAAAAUUAAAAGGAUGAAAAUCUGGGAAAACUUUACCUUGUAUCCUGCACACAAGAUCAAUGUCAAACCAACGUCUGUUAGACUGCUUUACACCUGUAAAUGGAUAUUCAGCAAGUUGAUAACUUUGUAUGAACAACAUAACACCGUCAGGUAUUUGCAAUAUUUGUCUGUAAACUACUUGGGGUUUAAUAAAUGAGCUUAACUUGCUUACGUUGUCACGUGCAGACGUCUGUAACGUCUGAGACGCAUGAGCUGUGAGACGUAAGGGAAUAUGAAAAUGAUGUAGUACGUAUUUAAGCUUUAAAAAAAUAAAUAUAAAAACCAUGUAUAGAUACAUUUGUAGUAACUAUUCACCUGAAUGAGAGAAACUGUGUAGAGACGAGAUGCACACGAGCGUUUGUGUUGAGUUGUGUUGUUAUCUCAAAGACGUGAGGGCAAACGCAGUCUGAUUUAAUCGUAUUUGUUCUAAUUAAAUAAUAGCCUAUAUGUAGCUUGAAAUGGAUUUGUUGUGACUGUGAUAAUAAGAACGUGUGCGUAGCGAACGUAGGAAACGACUGCGUCUGUCGACGUGUGUGAAAAUUACAGACGCGAGUUUUUUAGCUUGCGGUGCUUUAUAAUUGUGAGGGUUACAUAUUUGUGAGAUCCUAAUAGUUUGUUUAAAAUGUUGUAUGAAGCUGUAGAUAGUUGAACGGAGAGUUUUAGCUGCCAGGCGCUCGCUGUCCUCUGCAUGUGCUGCUGCUGACGUAUCACUCACACGGCCUGCUGAGCUUAGAACUAAAGAUGAUGCUGUUUUUAUACGUUCUUUCGCGAGAUAUGUUUAUUAUAUUGUAUACAUGUAAUUAGGUUUUAUAACUAGUGUUUAGGGAGCAUUUUGAGCACAGUAAAUGUGAAGUAUGAGUUGUUGGAAUUACCAAAGGGUCAAAGGGGGCUGGGUAGUGCAGAAAGGGGGAGAGAUAAAUAUGUUUAAAUUAAAUAAUAAAGAUUAUAGGCGUCGAGUUAUUCUUAAGAUGUCUGUGGUAGAUCAGUGAGCGUCGAGGACUGAAAGCUGGAAUGUAUAAUGUGUUACGUGAGAGGAAACGUGUGUGUGUGUGUGUGUGUGUGUGUGUGUGAGAGAGAG